rnacentral:rRNA from 1 species
AGAGUUUGAUCCUGGCUCAGAUUGAACGCUGGCGGCAUGCCUUACACAUGCAAGUCGAACGGCAGCACGGGGGUAACCCUGGUGGCGAGUGGCGAACGGGUGAGUAAUGCAUCGGAACGUGCCCAGUAGUGGGGGAUAACUAGUCGAAAGAUUAGCUAAUACCGCAUACGACCUAUGGGUGAAAGCGGGGGACCUUUACCGGCCUCGCGCUAUCGGAGCGGCCGAUGUCUGAUUAGCUAGUUGGCGGGGUAAAAGCCCACCAAGGCGACGAUCAGUAGCUGGUCUGAGAGGACGACCAGCCACACUGGGACUGAGACACGGCCCAGACUCCUACGGGAGGCAGCAGUGGGGAAUUUUGGACAAUGGGCGCAAGCCUGAUCCAGCCAUGCCGCGUGCGGGAAGAAGGCCUUCGGGUUGUAAACCGCUUUUGGCAGGAACGAAACGGCGCGAGCGAAUAUCUCGCGCUAAUGACGGUACCUGCAGAAUAAGCACCGGCUAACUACGUGCCAGCAGCGGCGGUAAUAC